rnacentral:lncRNA from 10 species
GCCUGGGCAACAAGAGUGAAACUCCGUCUAAAAAAAAAGAAAAGAAAUGGGCUAGGGACCCACUAAUGUCCCUCCAGUUCUGACAUAUGAGCCUAUUCCAUAAGCACCAGGAAAGGAGCUAAGCAGAACCCAGGAAGCCAAUUGACUCAACAUAGGAAACUGAGUGAGAAAUAAACAGGCCUCAUUCAAGUCCCUCGGUACUUGAGACUCUCACAUGGACUUUUCCUUUUUUUGGCCCUGCCCCCGCUUAGAUAAGCCCUCUAGGCCUGGGCUUGGGUUCAGGGACUCUCCUGGUUCCUGGGCAUCAUUUGCCCUGGCAAAGGUACCAGGAGUCCCAAGUACCCCACCCUGCCCUGGAAGCCUAGCCUCAGCCAAGAACAGGACCCAAAAGUUCAGAUUUGGUCAUCACCUGCUCUGACUACAAGCCCUUAACCAGCCCAAGCCUCUAAACCAGAAAGAUGACGUGGCACCUCCUGGAGGGUGGCAGUGGCUCCUGAGUGCCAAGUGCCUGGGGCUGGGAGGGGCCUCCAGCAGGGCUGCUCCUCAAAGUUUCAUGGCCCUUCUUAGAGAUGGAAAGCACCUCAGAGGCCCAGAACCAGAGGUUCUCAAAUUCUGGGAUCAAGAAGGUCUGGGUGGGCCAGGUGUGGUAGUUUAUGCUUGUAAUCCCAGCACUUUGGGAGGCUGAGACAGGAGGAUCGCUCAAAGCCAGGAGUUCCAGACCAGUGUGGGCAACAUUGUGAGACCUCAUCUCUACCAAAAAAAAAAUAAAUAAAAUUAUUUUACAAAUAUAUAAAAUAUUUAUUAAAUUUACUUUUAAAAUAAAGAAGCUCAGCAGGGAGCAGUGGCUCAUGCCUAUAAUCCCAGCACUUUGGGAGGCUGAAGUGGACAGAUCACUAGGUCAGGAGUUCGAGACCAGCCUAACCAACAUGGUGAAACCCUGUCUCUACUAAAAAUACAAAACUUAGCCGCGCGUGGUGGCGCAUGCCUGUAGUCCCAGCUACUUAGGGGGCCGAGGAAGGAGAAUCGCUUGAACCUGGGAGGUGGAGGUUGCAGGGAGCCGAGAUCAUGCCAUUGCACUGCAGCCUGGGUGACACAGUGAGACUCCACCACCCCCCCCCUCCAAAAAAAAAGAAAGAAAGAAGCCCUGGGUGGGCCUGGAAACCUGCAUAAUAAUAAGUACUAAUGGUGAGAAACUGAUUUGGCCCAGCACCCCUAGUGUUAACACUAGGGAAGAAAAGGGGAUAAGACUGGCCCAUAAGGACACGCCGGAACAGGACAAAAGCCCCACUCUCUGGACCCUAGCAUAGAGUUUUUUCAAACCAGCAGCCUCUUGAGAUUCACCCACCCAGAGAAGGGGAGGCCAAGUUCACAGGGAUGUUUUUCCUGAGUCUAUGCCCCAUGCCCCCCAUUAGAGGUUGUAUCGAUUGCAUGAGAACAAUUCAGCCUCUUGGAACUGGCCUCUGAACAAAAUGAGAUUGAAGUAUUGGUCCUGUGUGGGGCCACCCCAAGGCUGGGGAGUGGGAACAAGUAGGCAUCUGGGGCUAGAUCUGUGGAGGGUCACCCAGGCGUGUGUUUGGAAAUAGCCAUUACACUGGUGGGAAAUUUUUUGUCUGAUUUAGAAUAAUCUCUUGUUCACUAGCACCUAGCACAGUACCUGGCACACAGAGCAAGAUGGUGUACUGAGUAAAUGGAUGAUGCAAAAUGGGGGUUGGACGCAGCCGUCUUCAAGGCAAAGGGUGUAGGAUCUCAGCAGAGCCUGGAGAACACCAAAUAGUGGAUGCCUAGAAUGCAGGAUGGCCAGGGAGGUGCAGCCAAGAGGAGAGAGGGAGUUGGGCAGGCAGCUGGGAAUCACAUUAUGCCCCCGUCCCCACCCCAGGGUCAAUUGCCAUUGAGUCUCAGCCCCAGAAGUUCCAUGAACAGAACUGGUUUGGGUGAUUGAGUAAUCGUGUGGAUGUCGUGUUUGUGACCAUGACCAUGUGACACAUGUGUAAAUGUGUAUGUGGUGGGUUGUAACCGAGACUGCAUGUGUGUGACUCCUUGUGGCUUGGGUGUGGCCCUGUGCAUUGUAUAGGAGCUAUGUGCUUGUGGCUGCAUGUGACUGUGUGGUUGUGUGUGUGGUUGUGUGUGUGAUUAUGUGCACAGAAAUCGGCGUUGCCUCUGCCAUGAGUGCGACUCUCAGAAACUGGUUCUGAGAGUGGCUGGGAGUUGGGGGUGUGGAUGCGGCAGUCUGUGUAGCUGUGUGUUGUCUGCAUGAUGUAGGUGCAGCUCUGCGUGGAGACAGCUGUCGUGGAUGGAUGUGACUGUAUGGGACUCUGAUAUUGUCUCCAGGUGGGCCUGGGAGACUCUGGCUAGGCUCUCUUCUGUGUGACUGUAUCCACGCAACUGCCUGGUGGGUUACUGGCUUUGCAUGUUGUGUACGUAGCUGGGUGUCGCACCCUCCUGUGUGUGUCACUGUAUGCUCCUCUGAGGGACUCGGCUGUGUCACUGUGUGUGACUGUGACUGUGUGUGUGACCCAGCAUCCCUCUUAAACCACCUUCCUUGGGUGACUUUGAUGUGGUUGAGUUUCUAGGGGCCAUAAGGACGCCGGCCUCACUCUGGAGGACUUCAAAAGAUGGCAACUCUUUUCCCCCAGCAGGGGAAAAAACCCAUCUCCCCCUCCCUCUUCCCACUCCCCCUGCCUGGAGGAGAAGCCUGUUUGUUUUCCUAUUUUUACUGCCUAGGAUGAGUUCAUGGCCGCAGCUGACUCACCAGUCUUUCCGAAAGACUUGGGGAAGGAAAUAGGGGUUGCUUGGUUGGGACCUCUGCCCAGGAGCCCAGAACAUUCAGAACAGAGCCAAGGAAGAUAUCUGGGUCCACUGUGGGUUGUGUGAGCACCUCAAGUCACUCACCCACCCUGAGCUUGGAAGGUCAAGGAGACUUCUUUAGAGGUCACUGUCUAGCCUCCAGCUUCCUACGCCAAAAGACGGGCCUCUGUCCUUAUCUAAAACCUCUCCCCUCCCAUCAGUCCAGUUGAAAAGUAAGGCUGAGCCAAGGCCAAUUGAAACAUAGGCUGGAGCUCUGGAGGUGCAUUUGACAGGUCACCCAGAUCCAUAUCCCUGCAGGUGGUUCAGUAAGUAGCAAGGAUGCCUGGGCUUAACAACACUGUUUGCGCGCCCCCUAUGGGCAGAGCCUGCCCCAGCAGAAGGAGGUACAGCUAGAGGAAGGAGGCUUGCACAGUUUGACAGGGGAGACGCAGUCCUCUUCCCCAGGCACUCUUAGCCUUAUGAGAGACUCUUAGCUUUAACCCCCUACCCCAUACACAGACUCUGACACAAAGAAUCAAGAGGAUUCAAACUAUAUUUUCCUAGGCUUGGAAAAGAGUCAUGUCCAGAACCUGAGGAAGAAUUAGAGAGGGCUUCUGGCAGGGCUUCGGGGACUUUGGUGCAGACUAGGAGGGAGAGUACUUCCUGGUGGGUGGGUGACUAGGAGGACCCAGGAUGGAACAAAUUCUUGGGAGAUAUAUAGGAGGUGAGGAGAGGUGGGAAGUCCACAGUGGCAUAAUCCUUGUGUGAGAUGGCAAGCGAGGGCUUGGGCUGGACCUGGUUCACAGUGCACAGGAACUCUGCCUGAGCAAAGAGUCUGUGGAUGGAAGUCCCCUUUGGUAUCUACCUAGUGUCUCUGCAGCUGCAGCCAGCCUAUAGUUUCCCAUGUCUGGUUGCCCAGGAGGCAGCUCUGAGGCUGGGGCUUUGCCCCCUUCCCCCUACUCUACUCUGGGGAGCCAGACACCCCAACUGUGCUCCCAGCCAGCUUGCCUGGCUGGCCAGCACUCCUGCCCCCCGCUCCCAUGUCCACCCUGAAGAAGCCCCUGCCAGGCUGUCACCCAGCCAGUGGCUGGAGCCAUAAAAACUUCCCUCCACCCCCGCCGUCCUGGCUCACUGCCCGAGAGGCUCCUUCCAGCUCCUGUGACAGAUCCUACUCAUCAGAUCCUACCCUUCCGUCUGCCUGAAACUCCCCGACUUGAAUUUGGGGUGUUUGGGCCACCCUCCUGGAGGAAUUGAGAAGAGCUUCAAACUAAGAAGUUAGGAGGCUGGGCCUUGGGGAACUCACUGGGCGGGGCACCUAGCCUCAGUUUCCCCAUCUGCAAAAUGGAGCUAAUGGUGUUUGCCCUGUUGGGUUUCCAGGGUGGGUGGGGAAGGCUCCAGUGAGCUCAUGGGUGUGAAGGCCCUGGUGAGUUGUAAAUAGUCCAGUACUCGUGGGAGGGAGGAGGGAGCGGAGCCGUGUUAUUCCAGCUGGGCCUGGCUGCCUGCGUGGAGGGCUUGGUCAGGGGGGGUCAAGGGGAACUGUGAGGGUCUCUGUGCCAAGUGCUGGAAACAGGAGAAUUUGAGGCUGGCACCCCGCUGAGAGCUGGGUGUACAUAAGGCCUUGCAGGGGCCGCAUCUGGAGGCGACAGCAGCAGGGUCUAUGACAUGAAGGCUUGAGGCAAGUCACUCGGACAAGUGGUUCCAAAAAAGCUGCUUUUUGGAAGAAGGGUGCUGAGAAACCUGAGGUCACCAGGUGACAUCACUCUCAGCCUCUCUGACAUCCUUGCCUUUGCAGAGAGGGAAUGCAAAUGCCAUCUUUUCUUUUCUUUUUUUUUCUUUUUGAGACGGAGUCUCACUCUGUCUCCCAGGCUGGAGUGCAGUGGCGCAAUCUUGGCUCACUGCAACCUCCUCCUCCUAGGUUCACGCCAUUCCCCUGCCUCAGCCUCCCGAGUAGCUGGGACUACAGGCGCCCGCCACCACGCCCGGCUAAUUUUUUGUAUUUUUAGUAGAGAUGGGGUUUCAUCAUGUUAGCCAGGAUGGUCUCGAUCUCCCGAGCUCGUGAUCAGCCCACCUCGGCCUCCCAAAGUGCUGGGAUCACAGGCGUGAGCCACCGUGCCCGGCCACCAUCUUUUCUCUUCUAGGGACAGAGGGCCUAGGGAGAGGAGGUUGAGCUCCCGGUAUGGACUCAGGAAAUUAGCUGCAGCUUUUUCUGACAGGAAAAUUCUAAAGUCCUAGUCAGCUCACCAGGAGGGGCAUCUGGCUGCAUUUUCCUUCAGCCUGUCAGAGAGGCAGUUCCAGAGUCCUCUCCCCUCUUCUUCAAAUGGGCAAACCAGUGCCUUCCCGCAUGUACCACUCACCCCUUCCAGCGCAUCUGCCCACUCUCUCCCUCCACACACUCACCCUGGCUUUCCCCUUGGACUCUUUGAACAGGCUGCUCCCCCUCUGAAAUGCUCUUCCCCAGACCACACCCCGCCCCCAGCCUCAGAUCAAAUCCUGCCCCUGCCAAUUUCUAGCCAUGUGGCCCUGGGCAAGUCACCGCAUCUCUUUGAACCUCAGUCUCCCCAUCUGUAAAAUGGAGUUAAUACUACCUCCCACACUGGUAAGAAUGAGGAGAUAACACAUGAAGCGCUGAGUCCAGUUUCUGUCACAAGGGAGAGGCUCAACACCCCUUCACCCCUUCUAGAAUCCCUUCCAACACCUGCUUGCCACUUACUGAUUUGCCUUAUUUAUUGCUUCAUAAUAAAUCAAAAGACAGAUAUUCACUGAGUACUCACUGUAUGUUUAACACUGGCAAGUUCUAGAGAGAUCCAAGGGGUGGUUCUUUGCCCACCUGGAAACAGCUACCAACCUGGAUGGGCAGGCAACAUCUGUAACGAUGGAAUAUCCAACUGCUCGGACAGCAUGGCUGUCCCACUGGGCUGAAGACAGAGAAACAAACAGAGAAAUUGAGUAACUUCCCCAAGGUCACAGAGUAAGUAGAAAGUGAGAUAAUUGAAGUCUGUCUAACUCCAGACUCCACUUCCAACACAACCUAGUUUCCCUUACAGAGGAUGUGGAUCAGAAUUUGGCAGGACCCUUCCUCCCUUCUCCACCCCCACCGACCCCUUGGUAGAAUUUGUUUCAGAGGCUGGAGGAGUCUUGGACCGAUGGAGGUAAAACUGCCUCGGACGCUUCCCUUUCCAGCUGCUUUAUACGAAGGAGAGGCCCAGGAUGACGGGGAAGCCUGGUCCCCGGUCACUGCACAGGGAGGGGUCUGUGGGGCCGUGGGUAAGUGAGGGGGGUAGGCAGAGGCGACUCUGGGCUUUCGGGCCUGCCUGCCUGGGAGGAGCAGCAGUCUGUUGAUGGUGCUAGAGAAGCCAGGGCAAGCUGCAGGAAGAAUGAGGCGUUGGGUUUGGAACGCACAGAGCCUGACACAGUGGGCCAAGCAGAACUGCCCAUGGCUUCAGAAACCCAGGCUCAAAGCUGGGUAGACAGGUCUGACCCCGAGGACUUUCCAAGCACUGUUUUCCUGUCCCUUCCAGACCAGGGACGCCCAAGAAUGGGUCUGUGGUGCCUCCUUCCUCAGCCCCACUGGCACCCAGAGUUGUGUUUUCUGACCGGGGUGGGGACAUUCAAGGACAGUACUGCCUGGCAGCCUCCCUUCCCUCUGCCCCCUCCCACCUCCCUCCCACUCCUCCCUCAGCCCGUGGUACCUUUGAGGCCUGACAGCCCCCUUCCCUACAUCCUGUAAGGACUGCUGUCCCGUCCUUGCUCGUACCCACCCCACCAGUCCCUGGGGUAUCUGUGUGUGUUUCUCUCCCUCCAAAGGGCACUCAUUUAACAGAUGUCUCUGGAGCAACCACUACGCCAGCCUGUGCCAGGCACUGAGGAUGAGGAUACAGCCACACCCUCAUGGAGCUUACAUCCCCGUGGGCGGGGGAGACAGUAACCAGGUGAUUCAAAGAAACCCAUUUCAAUCAGUGACAAGUGCUGGGAGGAAGAAUGAGGCCAGGGUUGUAGAGAGGGAAGGGAUAGGGGCAUCCGGAGAAACACAGGGCACUGUUUCAGAUGGGGUCAUCUAGGAAGGCCUCUUGAAGAAGUCUCUCGAGUUUUGAAGAACAAGAAUAAGGAAAAGUGUAGGGAAAAGUAUUCUAGGUGGAAGGAAUGACGAGUACAAAAGCCCUGAGGUGGCCGGG